GAUGAACGCUAGCGGCAGGCUUAAUACAUGCAAGGCGAGGGGGCAGCAAUGUCACCGUCGUACGGGUGCGUAACGCGUAUGCAACCUACCUAUCACUGGGGGAUAGCCCGGGGAAACCUGGAUUAAUACCGCAUGAUACAGGGGGCCCACAUGGGUCUAUUUGUUAAAGAUUUAUCGGUGGUAGAUGGGCAUGCGUUCGA
rnacentral:rRNA from 1 species